GGGGUGUAGCUUAUUGUAGUUCUUGCUCUAGCACAUCUUACUUUAUUUGAUAUUCUGGUGUUGUGUUCUGUCAUGUUGUGGAUUUUUCCCACCUAGAGUGGAGCUUUUUGUUAAGACUUCUGGUUUCUUCUUACUGUGGCCUGUCGUGUGGGUCAUCCUGAUAAAUCCAAUGACAUGCCGAGGCCGACUGUUGACGUCAUGAAAUGAGCGCCAUCUACAAGGAGCGAUAGCCAUGCAAUGCCUCAGAGAUCAAGAAGUCUUACUUUUGGGUAGGAAAACUAACUUGGAAAAUAAUUAUAAGAUUCUAACUCAAGAAGAGCAGGAUCAGAAAUAAUGAGGUCUUGCAUGGGAAGUCAUGGGAAACUGCUUCGGCCUUCAGUGGUCAUGUCUUCCAUAACCACUAUCCCUGACAGUCAAGGCAUUCACACACUGCAGAGGCGCCUGCAGUUGCAGCAGCGGUUGAUGUUGCCAUGGAGAUUCACUUCAAUAAAACUUGGGAGUACUAAUA